AACGGAAUAGAAUGUACUUCACUUUCCCUUUUUAUCUUGUUCAGAUCGAUAAAGAGGAAACGGUAGGUUGCGGUUCCUCUGACUGCCGAUACAGAGAGAUAGAUCUAGUUCAGUCUCCUCUCUCUCUCUCUCCGCCGGAAAUACCUCCUCGUGGCCAUCGUCGGCGCCACCGGACUUUUUCGUCGAACUUCGCCAGUGGAAUCGAAGCAGACACCGAUUUCAAAUUCGCUCAAGCUAUCUCUCUUACUUUCGGACGUGAAUAGCCUAGGCGCUCUGGCUUUGUCAUCCUCACGCCAAGCUCUGUUAGCAAUUUAGCAUCCUUUCGAUUGCAUCCGCUUGCCUUCAAGUGCAUACUAACAACAUCUUUCUUGUCCUCCAUAGCAUCCUUGGCGUGUUUUGAGAUAUGUGAUGUCACUCCAUUAUAUUUUGAAUAAGUGUCGGCCCGUUUCAUCGCAAGUUGAAGCAGUAUCACCCCAAAGGCAUAUAUGUCCAUGCAUGUCUGGUUUGUACCUGUUAAUUAAUUUAAAUUUUGUCUUGUGAGAGAGUGGCUCCAUGCAUUCAUCUAGAUUCAAAUUAUACAUUCAGGCCGUUUGGAGACGACAAGUAUUCAACAGACAGUAUGUGCAGAAGGAGACGUGAAAGCACUUCAGCUUUAUCAGUCACAAAGUUAGGUUAAGCUGUAGACUUUUGCAGCGCUUUCAUUUCGUCUCCAAGGAUUUGAAGCUGGAUAUUGCUUGGCGGGUUUGGAGAUCAUUUUAGCUUCAUCGAUCAUCUACACGGGUGUUCUUCACGAGUCUUUGACGACAACAAAGCUAUUAACGGCAUGCCUCCCAUGAAAACAACUGGAGUUGAAAAUUUCGUUGGCGGCUAAGAGCAAGGAGUUAUUUCUUUGGCAGUCGAGAAGUACGAGUGAGAGUCUUCAAACAAGUAUGCACAUGCCUUUCAAAUUUAAUCUAGACGGAUCUAAAAUGUAGACGUGUGUGUACACAUGUUGGUUAACUCCAAACUGACAUGUAGAGGCUAAGACGGAAGCUAUUGGGUUUGAGUAAACAUUCCGAAGAGGUAAGUUUGGUAUUCAGCUAUUUCGCCGAGUGGGGUGGACGUUGCUUAUUAAGAAACUCAUCUACGGACCAAAUGCAGUAAAUUUUGUCCCCUAUAGACAUCAAGCCAAAUCUCCCUAAUAUUAAUUGUGGUAAGCCGAACCCAACUUUGGUCAUGGGCUGAACCCAGAUAAACAAGAUGGCUGCCAAUCACACGAGGAGCAAGAGUUGGCUGGGCUGAGCCUGAUGCCCACACGCUCCAUUUGGGCCUGGCAGGGGUAACCUUGACCCACACCCUCUAAGACCGAGCACGGGUAAACGGUUAUGGGUCAGGCAUAAGCCCAACCGUGGAGUUGAGCUAUGCAGUAGUAACUGAAGGGCUCCAAAAGGAUCUCAGACCUUCUGGGCACGUGGACACCGACUAUGUGAGUGAUUUUAGCGUGACGGCAUAACUGAAGCGGGUAUGGGUGACGUCAUGGGGAGCAAGUACGCCUGCCUAAAAGUACUAGAGGAUAAACCUUAGGAGAGGGGCGUACGGCUAUCCACAGUCUUAUGCCUUGUGUGCAGGUCUUCCAAAGGUGGAGUGAGGAGAGCAGUUCGGAUCCGAAAAGAGUUCCUAGAAACCACCACCCGCAGUAAUCAUCGUAUCAUGCUCUUUGUUUUAACACUAUGCUAACUGCCUAAACAUUCUAAUCACCAUAAGAAAACAUUCAAAAAAGAACAUUAAUAAUGGCAACUUACGCAAUAGCUUUCAUCCAUGUAAUUAUACUAGUUACUAAACAGUGGCAUGUUAAGUUUAUUAAACUCAAACUGUCAUAAGCAUUUGCUCAGAUAAACAUGAACUCAUCCUAACUACAAUAGACUAAUUAUGUUAACUUACACAAAGCAAAAAUCACUUAUUUAAUCAUGCUAAUUAUGCGGCAUCUUUACAAUUAACACGUCCCAUUUAAUUAUGCUUAUAAUUGAACAAUAGAUAAGGACGUUAAAACUUAUUCUGAUGGCAAAAUGCUAUAAGAGUAGAGUGGUCAAUUAGUCUCCACAUAACAAACAUGUAGGAAUCAUCUUGUCACGGUCUCAGAAGCAUGCAAGUUCCUCAAACUUGGUGUCCUUAGGUUCAUCGACUUGUAAACAUGUUAAGCAUGUUGUUCAAGACUAGUACAUAACCAUACAAAGUGAUGAUCCUAAUGGAAUGGAGUCAUGUCUAUAUCGAAUACCAAUAGUCCUGAGAUUCUAGCGCAUAGUAUCUGAUACUUAUUGAAUUUUCGUAUGUACCCGAUACACAAUUUUUUCAUUUCAAAUGAAGGAGUAUCAGUUACUUUCCGAUAUUAGUUACACAUCCAAAUUUUAUGAAAUUGAGAUUGUGAUAUUUGCUCCAUAGAUGAGUGCAUCCUGGUGUAGACAGAUUAAAGAAAAGUUUCUGGACAGAUAACUUAGUGUUUUAGUAAUCUGUAGAUGAACAAAACAGUAAGAUUGAAGUAAUAUCCUAUUUUUCCAUAAUUUGUCGAAUUGACGAAUUCUAUAAUGUCACAUGUGUUUGUAUCCCAUAGGCUGGCUAAUGGUGGUUCUAAUAUUAAAAGACGUCUUUUUGUCAUCUGUAUCCUACUUUUUGAAGUUUUUGGCGUAUCUGGGUAUGCAUAUCGUGUCAUUACUGUAUCCUAUAUCCGUGUCCAUUCUUCAUACAUGUGAAAGUAGUGUGACCUUGCUCGGUGCCUAACCAUUACAAGGCUUGUGCGGGCAUACAAACCGUAUAAAGCAUAUAGUUCAAUGAACCUGCCAGACAAUGCAAGCAUGUUAUUUAUUAGGCCAAUGUCUCCUACCAAAGCACGUGGCAAUGAAAUCAGCUAGGAAUGUUAACAACCAACCAAGUAAGCACGCAUGCUAUCUAGUUGAAAAUAAUGGAAACUUGAUAAGUUAUUCACCUCCGUAUUCAAAGGGAUGACAGUGUGGGCCCCUAAUUGACAUUAUGGAAAACUGGGCCAGAUUUAUUGUAUCCAACGGUUGCCUAUUUUCUAAGUUCAAGCGUGACCAACCCCCCUCUCUCUCUCUCUCUCUCUCAUAGAAGGGAAACGUUAACCCACAACUUUCUCUACCAUCCAUCCUUCACUGCCUCUCCCAUCACUACCACUCCCAACCCAGAUCACCGCCUCCUUUUUUGUCUGGCUUAUCCCCUUCGUCUCAUCCCUUGCUUCUACCCCUAUCCAUUUGCCGCUUCACAUAGCUGACAAGAACUUAACUGCAUUUGCCACUUCUCAUAGAGGGAGAGUGCCACCAGCACAAUUGAACCCCCUCCCAAUUAUUCCCCAAUACUGCGUGGGUCGUUCCAUUAUGCUCCAUCCAUGACUGUUGCAAAGCAUGUCAAACCCAAACGGCCCAACCUAUGAGAUCCUCUACCUCAUUAAAGCCUAAUCCAAUUGACCGAGAAGCCUAAAAAUGGAGAAAUUUUUGCGAGAAAAUUGUUGUGAAGCUGGUGUUGAUUAUAGAAAGUCAAAAGCAUGCAUUCAGUUUAUUUUUAGUCUUUCAAAUAAAUAAUGGUCGGCCGAGUUUGGGUGACUGAAGCUGGUCGGCAUAAGCAUGGUUUACAAAUAUUUCCCCAACCAUACGUUUGUAUGCCCUAUUUGCUAGUGUUGGAACAGGUGGUUGAUACAAUUAAGGUUGCUAAUUACUCUGAUUUUUCUCUUAAAUUCACAUACUUGAAUAGGAGUUACCUAAGUAAAGCAAGCUUUCACGAAGCUCAGGAUAUGAUUUGUCACCAGGGUCAUUCGGAAGUUACUGUCAGAUUAAGUUCCUGAAAGCCUAACGGUUGGAGUGCCGUUGGCUGCAGCUAAUUUGCUAGUGAUCAAACAAUUGGGAAACCUAUCAUGAAAGUAAGGCGGAUAUCAUAUACAAGUGCAUUUGAAUAAGCUUUGCUUAAUUUUUCAGUAAGAAUAGCGGAGCAUAAAAAGAAGGUAUCAAUAAGAAUAGUCAUGUCAGCAUACCUAAAUAAAAGUCACAUUGCAGUUUUCAAAAUUCCGGCAAUAUGAAUAUUACGAAGGAUCAAUGUAAAACAAGUCAGAUACAAGCUUAUAAGCUUAUAUCUUGCAUUUGGUUUAACAGGCUUAUAAGCUUUGCCUAAUUUAUCAGUAAGGAAAAAAAGGGUAUUGUAUCAGUAGGAAUAGUCAUGGCAGGAUACCUAAAUAUAUAUCAAAUACCUGACAGGUUUCUGUUUCCAAUGGCUUUUGUUGAAAAUGGUUACAAGCUUGUCACAUUGCAGUUUUCAAAAUUC